rnacentral:rRNA from 1 species
AUUGAACGCUGGCGGCAGGCUUAACACAUGCAAGUCGAACGAGUGGCGGACGGGUGAGUAAUGCUUGGGAAUCUAGCUUAUGGAGGGGGAUAACUACGGGAAACUGUAGCUAAUACCGCGUACCCUAGGAUGAGCCCACGUGGGAUGUGGUAGUUGGUGAGGUAACGGCUCACCAAUCCGACGAUCUCUAGCUGGUCUGAGAGGAUGACCAGCCACACUGGGACUGAGACACGGCCCAGACUCCUACGGGAGGCAGCAGGGGGGAAUAGUGCGCAAUGGGGGCAACCUGACGCAGCCAUGCCGCGUGAAUGAAGAAGGCCUUCGGGUUGUAAAGUGCUUUCGGUAGCGAGGCGUUAACUACAGAAGAAGCACCGGCUAACUCCGUGCCAGCAGCCGCGGUAAUUC